rnacentral:rRNA from 1 species
GACGAACGCUGGCGGCGUGCUUAACACAUGCAAGUCGAACGAGAGCGUAGAGAAAGCUUGCUUUUUCUACAAUCUAGUGGCAAACGGGUGAGUAACGCGUAAACAACCUGCCCUACGGAUGGGGACAACAGCUGGAAACGGCUGCUAAUACCGAAUACGUUCCGAAAGUCGCAUGACUAUCGGAAGAAAGGAUGGCCUCUAUUUAUAAGCUAUCGCCGGAGGAGGGGUUUGCGUCUGAUUAGCUAGUUGGAGGGGUAACGGCCCACCAAGGCGACGAUCAGUAGCCGGUCUGAGAGGAUGAACGGCCACAUUGGAACUGAGACACGGUCCAGACUCCUACGGGAGGCAGCAGUGGGGAAUCUUCCGCAAUGGGCGAAAGCCUGACGGAGCAACGCCGCGUGAGUGAAGACGGCCUUCGGGUUGUAAAGCUCUGUUAUACGGGACGAAUAAUCUUGUGGUUAAUACCCAUGAGAAGUGACGGUACCGUAAGAGAAAGCCAUGGCUAACUACGUG